rnacentral:rRNA from 1 species
UACGAAGGUGGCAAGCGUUGUUCGGAAUCACUGGGCUUAAAGAGCACGUAGGCGGAAAGUUAAGUGUUUUGUGAAAUCCCUCGGCUUAACCGAGGAACUGCUUGACAUACUGGCUUUCUUGAGGCAGGUAGGGGCGCGUGGAACUCUAGGUGGAGCGGUGAAAUGCGUAGAUAUCUAGAGGAACGCCAGUGGUGAAGACGGCGCGCUGGGCCUGACCUGACGCUGAGGUGCGAAAGCGUGGGGAGCAAAAAGGAUUAGAUACCCCCGUA